UACGAAGGGGGCUAGCGUUGCUCGGAAUUAUUGGGCGUAAAGGGUGCGUAGGCGGUUUGGUAAGUCUUGUGUGAAAUCUACAGGCUCAACUUGUAGUCUGCACGAGAAACUGCCGGGCUUGAGUAUGGGAGAGGUGAGUGGAAUUCCUGGUGUAGCGGUGAAAUGCGUAGAUAUCAGGAGGAACACCUGUGGCGAAAGCGGCUCACUGGACCAUAACUGACGCUGAUGCGCGAAAGCUAGGGGAGCAAACAGG
rnacentral:rRNA from 1 species